AAAGACUGCGACAGGAAGGAGCAUUGAGCGACUCAACGGAAUCCUGUCCAUCUCUUGACUGGUUUCAGUAUUUACAAAUAUUUAAAACGCUCUUUUGAAUGUAUACAUAAUUCAAUUCAAUUAUAUGCCUUAAUUAUAGAGAGCGACUAACAGACUAAGAACCGCUGCCCUGGCUGACGUUUACCUAAUCGAAUUGUGAUUGGCGAUUUAUUUGAAAAUUUAUGAAGAAGGAGUUUGUUUUAUCGUGGAAGUGGCGUUUCCUUAACUACUGGAGAAAUCGAGAAGACGGUGCUUUUUUGUACUCUUCUUUAACGCGGUUUGAGAACGUGGACAUUUCUUUGCGAUAAAUUUUCGGGCAGUCAGCCUGUGCAUGUGAAAGCGUAAUUCGUGAGUAUUGUAAUAAAGUUUUCCAGAGUUAAAUCAAGUGAAGUAGUAAAAGUUCGUGAAAUGAUUUUUAAAACGCGCUGUCCGUUUUCGGAAAAAGUAGGUACGUGUGUGAAUUGAGCAAGCAAGUUGUCGCCUAGGGCGUGUCUCAGUUUUAGUACGCCCCUAAAUAUCGCUAAUUUGCUACGAUCAAAUUGAUUGAUUUAUUUAAUAACUGGAAGUAAUUAAGAUUUUUAUUUAAUUGUCUAUCGAACGUCUGCGUGCGGGGUACUUAUGUGUCAAAAAACAAGCUUUGAAUGCUUUUCUUUCUUCCGGAAUUGUGACUUUAAUAUCUGUAUGUUUUGCGAGAUACAUGUUUGUCAAUUAAUUAACUCUGUGUUUCCUGAGGGGUGGCACCCUACCAGGCGCGUCCCCAGGUGGCGGAUAGGGGAACGGCCUAAGCGAAUGAGCGUAGGUCAAUGCUAGGAAUAAGGAUGCUCGUCGCUUAUGAAACAGCGACUGGUAGCAACCAAAUACAGCAUCGCGGACCAGCUACCUCGCCCGGUUGUCGUAUCGUGGCCAAGGGCUUGCACGGGGUUAAACGGUGCCGACAUGUGUUCGAUGUACGUCAACCAUGUCGAUAUACCAUGGACGAAUCUGGGUAGCUCGGGAUUGUGCGAGGGGUCUAGGUUUUACCGCCCGGACCGAACAUGAGAGAGGAACCAGUGUGUUCUACGCAACCUGACCUUCCAUCUACCGCAGUGGGGAAACCUAGGAGCUCCAGGUAUCUGUGGAUUGGUUGAGGUCGGAUCUAGCGAGAAAAGUUCCGUUCCGUGGGAGGGCGCGAAACGUCGAUUCGUCGAAGCGAAGAACAUCCCAAAACCAGUAACGGCAAACGCCUGGAGCCCCGGGGCUCAAGUAGAACCGGAGAAGAUCCUGAAAAGGAUCGAAUUGUUGGAGUUACAACCAGCAAUUGGCGUGUGGUAGACAUGGUGAAGGACAAGAUGGGGACUACUUGCAACCAUCGACCCUACGUGAACUUGACCAGAUUGACGUUCAAACUUCUCUCCAAGACGAAGGUAGAGGUGACAAGCAUGGAGUGCGAAGAGGUAACAUCAGUUGCGGAGCCCUCAGGGGAACCACAACCAACACCUACUAGAGGCAGUACCUAAUUCUGACAGUGGAAAAGAAUGGGAGCGAGAAAGGGGUUGUACUCGGAUCCGCAUACCGCCCUUAUACACCACCAACCACACAAGUUAGCACACUGGUGGAACACUGUCAGCGGAAAGGAUGGUAACUCCUUCUCGGAUGUGAUGCCAAUGCGUAUGAGGCAGCACCGACAUCAACGGAAGAGAGCCGCCCUAUCCCGAAGUUGAGGUUGAGGCCGCACCCUUCCUUUGUCGACCUCAAAAAACCGCAAGUCGACGUCUCAAAAAAUUACAGGAUCACAGCAGUUUUUUGACCUUUUUGGCACCUAAAGGCCUUAAGGAACGACCCGAAGACGAACAUAUGUGGCCAUUUUUGGACUUCACGCACGCGAU